rnacentral:rRNA from 1 species
GAUGAACGCUGGCGGCGUGCCUAAUACAUGCAAGUCGAACGCUGGAAAUCUAGCUUGCUAGAUUGAAGGAGUGGCGAACGGGUGAGUAAUACAUAAGCAACCUACCCACGAAGACUGGGAUAAUCUCUGGAAACGGGGACUAAUACCGGAUAGGUAAUCGGAAGGCAUCUUCUGAUUAUUAAAGGUUAAAAACACUGGUGGAUGGGCUUAUGGCGCAUUAGUUAGUUGGUGAGGUAACGGCCACCAAGACGAUGAUGCGUAGCCGGCCUGAGAGGGUGAACGGCCACAUUGGGACUGAGACACGGCCCAGACUCCUACGGGAGGCAGCAGUAGGGAAUUUUCGGCAAUGGGGGAAACCCUGACCGAGCAACGCCGCGUGAGUGAUGACGGCCUUCGGGUUGUAAAGCUCUGUUGUAAGGGAAGAACGGUAGAUAGAGAAUAUCUAAAUGACGGUACCUUACCAGAAAGCCACGGCUAACUACGUG